rnacentral:rRNA from 1 species
AUUGAACGCUGGCGGCAGGCCUAACACAUGCAAGUCGAGCGAGCGGCGGACGGGUGAGUAAUGCCUGGGAAUUGCCCAGUCGAGGGGGAUCAAAGUUGGAAACGACUGCUCAUACCGCAUACGACUGGAUUCGCAAGGUGGGAUUAGCGAUUGGGUGGGGUAAUGGCUCACCAAGGCGACGAUCCCUAGCUGGUCUGAGAGGAUGGUCAGCCACACUGGAACUGAGACACGGUCCAGACUCCUCCGGGAGGCAGCAGUGGUGAAUAUUGCACAAUGGUGGAAACCCUGAUGCAGCCAUGCCGCGUGUGUGAAGAAGGCCUUCGGGUUGUAAAGCACUUUCAGCGAGGAGGCGUUACUCGCAGAAGAAGCACCGGCUAACUCCGUGCCAGCAGCCGCGGUAAUUC